CCGACUGCUAUUCGGGUAAGACUAAGCCAUGCAAGUCGAAUGGAACAGCUUGUUCCAUGGCGAACUGCUCAGUAACAAGUAAUCAACUUACCCUUCAGUGGAGAAUAACCUCGGGAAACUGAGGCUAAUACUUCAUAGUUGGAAAUUCCUGGAAAGGUUUUCCAUCGAAAGAUAUUUCUAAAUGCGGAAAAUUCGCUGAAGGAUAGGAUCGCUUUCGAUUACGGUAGUUGGUGAGGUAAUGGCUCACCAAGCCUAUGAUCGAUAAGGGCCGUGAGAGCGGUAGCCCUGAGAUGGAUACUGAGACAAUGAUCCAGGCCUUACGAGGCGCAGCAGGCGCGAAACCUUUACAAUGCACGAAAGUGUGAUAAGGUUACCCGGAGUGCUAAAAUUAAAUUUUAGCUGUUAUAGGUGUGUAAAUAACCCUAUGAGAAAGGAGAGGGCAAGGCUGGUGCCAGCCGCCGCGGUAAAACCAGCUCUUCAAGUGGUCGGGAAUAUUAUUGGGCUUAAAGUGUCCGUAGCCGGUUUGGCAAGUUCCUGGUUAAAUCUGGCAGCUUAACUGUCAGUCAGCUAGGAAUACUACUUUACUAGAGGGUGGGAAAGGUUUGAGGUACUCCAGGGGUAGCGGUGAAAUGCGAUAAUCCUUGGGGGACCACCAGUGGCGAAGGCGUCAGACUGGAACACGCCUGACGGUGAGGGACGAAAGCCAGGGGAGCGAACGGGAUCAGAUACCCCGGUAGUCCUGGCCGUAAACGAUGCGUGCUAGGUGUUGGUAGGGCUUUGAGCUGUAUCAGUGCCGUAGGGAAACUGUUAAGCGCGCCGCCUGGGAAGUACGCUCGCAAGGGUGAAACUUAAAGGAAUUGGCGGGGAAGCACCAC
rnacentral:rRNA from 1 species